rnacentral:lncRNA from 1 species
UUUUUUUGAAGAUACAUUCAAUUAUUCUAGAAAACAUAUGUUUUACGUAAAAUUAGUAGAGCACCGGUGUAAAUUAAGGUUGAUUUAGAACCUUUGGUAGAUGAAGUUAAGGGUACAUUGAGGAUACAUUGUUUGCGUAUUCUAGCCAUUUGAUGAUUAAUGGGUUUAUGCAGUUGGGUAGUGUGUAUGCACAUUUGUUUAGAGAAAACAAAUAGUCUAUAAUUUUAGAUUCCAACCCCUUCUUCGGAUGAUUAACAUAAGUGAUGUUAAGUUAUUAAAUGGUGCAAGUUGUUUAUGGUGUUAGAUUACGCCAUAUUUACAUAUUGUUAAUAGAUUAAGAGAAGUAUCUUCAUAAAGUAGCACAUUAAAGAAAAACAUGGAUAUGUUUGCCCUUAGGGAUUUACUAGUAUUGUUGUAGUAGACUGAUAUUUGUAAAGAAAAAAUAAGAGACAUAUGAACUUCAGAACUUAAUGACAAAAUUUAAGUGAAAUAGAUAAUUGAUAUAAAAGGAAAAC